GACGAACGCUGGCGGCGUGCUUAACACAUGCGAGUCGAACGGUAAGGCUCCAGCUUGCUGGGGUACACGAGUGGCGAACGGGUGAGUAACACGUGGGUGACCUGCCCUGCACUUCGGGAUAAGCCUGGGAAACUGGGUCUAAUACCGGAUAGGACCGCACCGUGAGGGUGUGGUGGAAAGUUUUUUCGGUGUGGGAUGGGCCCGCGGCCUAUCAGCUUGUUGGUGGGGUAAUGGCCUACCAAGGCGGCGACGGGUAGCCGGCCUGAGAGGGUGGACGGCCACAUUGGGACUGAGACACGGCCCAGACUCCUACGGGAGGCAGCAGUGGGGAAUAUUGCACAAUGGGCGGAAGCCUGAUGCAGCGACGCCGCGUGGGGGAUGACGGCCUUCGGGUUGUAAACUCCUUUCACCAUCGACGAAGGGUUUCUGACGGUAGAUGGAGAAGAAGCACCGGCUAACUACGU
rnacentral:rRNA from 1 species